rnacentral:lncRNA from 1 species
UCAAUCUAUAUAACUAACUCAAAUUCUCCAGGGACAGCCAUGAGAUCAAAUGGUUUGGUAAAAUAGCGCCCCACGGCAACUAUUGCAUGACCAGGAACAAGGUUAAAAUGGGUAGAAUGUGGACGAAGAUGAGAUGACUUGUCUUGAGCUGGAUUAACAUUGAUGUAAUCAUCCACUUGUCUGAUCCUUGCAGUAGGGAAGGAUGAAUCGGACUGAAACUGUAUCCAAGCGAUAUUAUAGUGAAAAUCAUGGGCACAUACUUGUCCCUCAUAUGAUGAACCAUCAUACAGGUAUAUGAUAAC